GACUCCUGUCUCUUUGAAUGAAGAGAGGGAGGGAUUUAAUCGCCGCCGUAAGAAGAAGCUUCCUCUCCCUUCGCACCCCAAGCCCCAUGAUGGACGCAUCAGAACGUUACUCCUACAAUCCGACAUUGCGAUGGAACCCUGAAGUCGAAGACUACUUCGUCAAAGCAUAUGGAACUGAUAAUUUCUCUCGCAUCACCAAAGCCCUAAUGUGUCCAUCUCGAUAUUCUUGUAUUCGUGUGAAUACACUCAAGUCUACAAGUGAUGCUGUUAUUGAGAAGCUAUGGGCUAUUAUUCAGGAAACUGGGCUUGGAAAUGCCGUUGACAGCAUAAACUUAGACAAAUGUGAUGCCAUUUCCAAAUCUGAUGUGAGCCAGAAUCAAAGAAACUUUCCAGAAGAAUCUAGUUUCUGCAAGAAUUCACAUGACUCUGAGAAUGCAGUCUUGGGACUGUCUGAAGAUUUAUAUCCCUGGAAGGAAAGCUUACCUACUGGUCCCAUUGUUAAGUGUCAUUUACCUGGGUUAGACUAUGUUGUGUUUGUUAGAGGGUCAGGACCACACACAAUUGAUUAUGGUUAUGCUCAUGAGAGACCUCUGAAGGAGGUAAUUGUGAGCCGUAAAUGUGCAGAGGCAGUUCUUCGAGGUGCUCAGGUAUAUGUUCCUGGUAUAUUAGCUUGUAGUGCUCACGUUGAGAAAGGGGAUCCAGUUGCGGUUUCAGUUGCUGUGGAGCAGCCUGGUCUUGAUGGUGGAUGGAGCAUUGGUAUAACUAGGGGGACUGUUCUACAAGGAUUUGAGACAGAUCCUCAUUAUUUUGAACGAAAGGGCCUUUAUAUUGGCCAUGGCACUGCAAUGAUGUCAAGGGCUGGGUUUUUCCGUGUUUCAGAAGGACUUGCUGUGGAUAUGAGUAAUAGAGUAUUUAAAUUGGCAUCCUUUCAUGUGUUAGUAACAGUCAUUGGUGACUUUCUUGGAGCAGUGGCGGUGCUGAUAAGUUGUUUUUGCGAGGCUGUGGCAGUGUUAUAUGUGCUUGAAGGAGAAAUAUUUCUUCAAAACCUGCCAAGUGUUAUUGCUGCACAUGCCCUUGAUCCUCAACAGGGAGAACGAAUAUUGGACAUGUGUGCAGCUCCCGGUGGGAAAACAACUGCAAUUGCUAUUCUUAUGAAGGAUGAAGGAGAGGUUGUUGCAGUCGAUAGAUCUCACAAUAAGGUGCUGGAUAUUCAGAAAUUGGCUGCUGAAAUGGGACUGAAUUGUAUAACCACGUAUAAGUUAGAUGCCCUAAGAGCUGUUUGUCAUGGGAUGGGUGAACCUAUUCAAAGUGCAGAGUCAAAUACGAUAGGACGAUCCAAUGCUGAUUUGUCUUGCGUAGUAAAUGAGUUCUCUCUCUCUCUCCAAAAGCAAAUGGUAACAGGCAAUGGGGCCAGGGAAAAUCAACAGAGUUGUGGAAGUAAAGCUGAGGCCCAAGUGAAUAUUCGGAGAAUGAGAAAUGGGCCGGGAAGAAAUCACUGCAUGGGUGGUAGGGUUGAAAGUUCUAAAGGUUUUUCUCCCAAUAGCUUUGAUCGAGUCCUUCUAGAUGCUCCCUGUUCUGCUCUAGGUUUGAGGCCACGAUUAUUUGCUGGAGAGGAGACAGUAGUAUCUUUAAGGAACCAUGCAAAUUAUCAAAAGAGGAUGUUUGACCAGGCCAUUCAGCUAGUUCGCCCCGGUGGAGUUCUUGUAUACUCCACAUGUACAAUAAAUCCUGGCGAGAAUGAAGCACUUGUUCGAUAUGCUUUGGAUACAUAUAAGUUUCUUUCAUUGGCAUCACAGCAUCCUAGAAUUGGAGGACCUGGUCUUGUUGGUUCUUGCAGCUUCUCUGAUGGAUAUGUUGAGGAAUGGUUAAAACCCGGUGAGGACGCACUCGUUCAGAGGUUUGAUCCAUCAUCUACACUCGAUACAAUAGGAUUCUUCAUAGCCAAAUUUAAUGUGGGUCCAAAGGAUACAUGACUUCUCAUGGAUAUCUUUUACUUGGCUAACCUCGCUGUGGACUCAUCUCCUUCGUACGAGGCAAGUAUGAAAAUUUUGAAGAGAGCAUUCAUGUCAACAGUCUUCUGCAAGAUUCCAGUGGAACAGAGACAGCUAGAUAGAGUCCUCAGAUUUUGCCUUCUCUGAGAGAGAAUUGGCAAAAAGACAAGUCUAGAGAGGGAGUAUAAGUAUCCAUAAGUUUGAUUCACAAAUGCAGCGCGUGGAUGGUGAGGUUUGCAUGGAGUUUCAAGAGGGCAAAUCUAGUACCUUUCAAGAUCGAUUGAUCAAUUUGUUUUUGUUAUAAAUGAUGUUCAGAUAUUUAGAUAUGGAGUUCAUUUUUGUUCUAGUAUGGUGUUGAUUGUCUAAUAAAGUUUCUGUUGUUUGUCGCUUAUUUUCACCCCAAAAAAAUACGAAGGAAAUCAACACUUUGGUGCUUGUCACAAUGAAAUAUCCGUUGUCAUAGAUAGAACUGGUUUUUUAAUGCGUUUGGACCCCUAUGAUGUUUGCCAAAACCAUGGAAUUUCCUUGAUGUUCAAGCACAGAUGUUUCUUGAUGUUCAAAGAUAA